CAUCGUCGGUCGGCUUGUUUGACCCUCCUCUCUCGUGGGUGGGCGACUGGCCCCUAGAUGGAAUGACCGUGUCGGCNCGUGAGCGGUGAUGGAUUCGCAUGCCACGUCGGGCUCCCUGCCACUGUGCAGCCAACCGCCGUCGCUGCAGCCCCUUCACUCGGUGCUCCAACCUCUCGGAGCCUCACGCGUUGCCUGUACAACAUACCCGGUUCUCGGGCAAAUGACUUCGUCCAACACGCUCGUCCGCUCCCCUCGCCUUUGUGCGGGCGCGGAGCGGCAACAUCGGCGGUCCUCGUGCUCCCUCGGACGACGGCACGGCUUUGGCCCCUCGUCUCGUCCCGAUCGGCCCUCGGGGAUUCGCCAGCGCUCGCGGACACGGUAGACAAUGUUGGCUCGGGGCUUUCGUAGCCCCCGCACCACGAUCGGUCGGCUCACUUCGCCGCCC
rnacentral:misc_RNA from 1 species